rnacentral:rRNA from 1 species
UACGUAGGGUGCAAGCGUUGUCCGGAAUUAUUGGGCGUAAAGAGCUCGUAGGCGGUCUGUCGCGUCUGCUGUGAAAACUCGGGGCUUAACCCCGGGCCUGCAGUGGGUACGGGCAGACUAGAGUGCGGUAGGGGAGACUGGAAUUCCUGGUGUAGCGGUGAAAUGCGCAGAUAUCAGGAGGAACACCGGUGGCGAAGGCGGGUCUCUGGGCCGUAACUGACGCUGAGGAGCGAAAGCCAGGGGAGCGAACGGG